rnacentral:rRNA from 1 species
GAUGAACGCUGGCGGCGUGCCUAAUACAUGCAAGUCGAGCGAACGGACGAGAAGCUUGCUUUUCUGAUGUUAGCGGCGGACGGGUGAGUAACACGUGGAUAACCUACCUAUAAGACUGGGAUAACUUCGGGAAACCGGAGCUAAUACCGGAUAAUAUUUUGAACCGCAUGGUUCAAAAGUGCAUGACGGUCUUGCUGUCACUUAUAGAUGGAUCCGCGCUGCAUUAGCUAGUUGGUAAGGUAACGGCUUACCAAGGCAACGAUGCAUAGCCGACCUGAGAGGAUGAUCGGCCACACUGGAACUGAGACACGGUCCAGACUCCUACGGGAGGCAGCAGUAGGGAAUCUUCCGCAAUGGGCGAAAGCCUGACGCAGCAACGCCGCGUGAGUGAUGAAGGUCUUCGGAUCGUAAAACCCUGUUAUUAGGGAAGAACAGAUGUGGAAGUAACUGUGGACAUCUUGACGGUACCUAAUCAGAAAGCCACGGCUAACUACGUG